rnacentral:snRNA from 1 species
UUCACUUCUUGGCGUUUUGGCUAAGAUCAAGUAUAGCAGCUGUUCUUAUCAGUUUAAUAUCUUAUUCAUUAAUUCAAAUAAUUAUAAAUAUAUUAUCAUUCUAUAACAUCU